rnacentral:rRNA from 1 species
GACGAACGCUGGCGGCGCGCCUAACACAUGCAAGUCGAACGGAGCUGAGAGAAGCUUGCUUUUCUUAGCUUAGUGGCGAACGGGUGAGUAACGCGUGAGUAACCUGCCCUGGAGUGGGGGACAACAGUUGGAAACGACUGCUAACACCGCAUAAGCCCACGAUCCGGCAUCGGAUUGAGGGAAAAGGAUUUAUUCGCUUCAGGAUGGACUCGCGUCCAAUUAGCUAGUUGGUGAGGUAACGGCCCACCAAGGCGACGAUUGGUAGCCGGACUGAGAGGUUGAACGGCCACAUUGGGACUGAGACACGGCCCAGACUCCUACGGGAGGCAGCAGUGGGGGAUAUUGCACAAUGGGGGAAACCCUGAUGCAGCGACGCCGCGUGGAGGAAGAAGGUUUUCGGAUUGUAAACUCCUGUCGUUAGGGACGAUAAUGACGGUACCUAACAAGAAAGCACCGGCUAACUACGUG